rnacentral:tRNA from 1 species
CUGGGUAUGGCUCAGUGGUAGAGCACUUCCCUAGCAUGCAAGAGGCCCUGAGUUCCCUCCCUAUAUUCAAA